rnacentral:rRNA from 1 species
AGCUUCAGUAGCGUAUAUUAAAGUUGUUGCAGUUAAAAAGCUCGUAGUCGCAUUUCUGGCGAGAGGAUCCGGUCCGACCUUUUGGUGGGUUCUUGGGUCUCUUUCGCCAUCCUUGAGUGGUCCGUUCUGGCAUUAGGUUGUCGGAGCGUCAGCCGCUCAUCGUUUACUGUGAGAAAAUUAGAGUGUUCAAAGCAGGCUUAUGCCGUUGAAUAUAUUAGCAUGGAAUAAUAAGAUAGGACCUCGGUACUAUUUUGUUGGUUUGCGCACCAAGGUAAUGAUGAACAGGGACAGUUGGGGGUAUUUGUAUUUCGUUGUCAGAGGUGAAAUUCUUAGAUUGUCGAAAGACAAACUACUGCGAAAGCAUUUACCAAGGAUGUUUUCA